GACGAACGCUGGCGGCGUGCUUAACACAUGCAAGUCGAACGGAAAGGCCCUUCGGGGUACUCGAGUGGCGAACGGGUGAGUAACACGUGGGUGAUCUGCCCUGCACUUUGGGAUAAGCCUGGGAAACUGGGUCUAAUACCGAAUAGGACCACGCGCUUCAUGGUGUGUGGUGGAAAGCUUUUGCGGUGUGGGAUGGGCCCGCGGCCUAUCAGCUUGUUGGUGGGGUAAUGGCCUACCAAGGCGACGACGGGUAGCCGGCCUGAGAGGGUGACCGGCCACACUGGGACUGAGAUACGGCCCAGACUCCUACGGGAGGCAGCAGUGGGGAAUAUUGCACAAUGGGCGCAAGCCUGAUGCAGCGACGCCGCGUGAGGGAUGACGGCCUUCGGGUGGUAAACCUCUUUCAAUAGGGACGAAGCGCAAGUGACGGUACCUAUAGAAGAAGCACCGGCCAACUACGU
rnacentral:rRNA from 1 species